GGUGGGACAUUGCUCAGGCUACACAGCUCCAGCAGCUGUGUGAAAUCUUCUGACUGCAGGACCAUAGUGAGGUCACCUGGUCGCGUCAGAGCGGGAAAUGGUGGCACCAGGAGAGUGGGAAGAACUCUAAACACCACAGAAGCUGAAAUGGAGCCCCUGACCUUUGAGGAUGUUGCUGUGAGCUUCACACUGGAAGAAUGGGGCUGUUUGGAUCCUUCCCAAAAGAAGCUCUACAUGGAAGUGAUGCUGGAAACCUACAGCAACCUGUCCUACAUAGAAGACAAUGAAAACAUUGAAGAGGACUUCAGGAAUCCCAGAAGAAAUAUGAG